CCAGGUGCAGACAAGGGCUGCUUCCAGGUGCCUCUGGGAUUUGUAGUCCACAGUUGCAGCCAGCUAUUCCACUAGUAGUGGUUCAGUGAUCCACGCUCCCCUCCUGUGCUUCAGAACUCACCUUUUCCAUGCAAUUUUCAGAGAAAGCAUGAAAUAAUGUGGCUUUGAGAGACUCCAGUCUUGGUGAGUUUGCAGACCUGAGACCAUGUGAUAAAAGAGAAAGAAGUGAUAUUGAACUUCUGCAGCAAGUCUACAACUCUGGGUUUGACAUCUAUCAGUCCGUCAUCCCAGGAUAUAUGAAUUGUUAUAUUGAGAGAGACAA